rnacentral:rRNA from 1 species
CCCUUAGAUGUUCUGGGCCGCACGCGCGCUACACUGAUGCAUUCAACGAGUUUCUUCCUGGUCCGAGAGGAAUGGGUAACCUUUUGAAAGUGCAUCGUGAUAGGGAUAGACUAUUGCAAUUAUUGGUCUUCAACGAGGAAUUCCUAGUAGACGUAGUUCAUCAGACUGCAUCGAUUACGUCCCUGCCCUUUGUACACACCGCCCGUCGCUCCUACCGAUUGAACGAUCCGGUGAAAUCUCAGGACUGAGAUUGAUUAACGGUUCGCCGUUACCAGUUUCGGGAAUUUGCUUGAACCUUAUCGUUUAGAGGAAGGAGAAGUCGUAACA